rnacentral:rRNA from 1 species
CCCUACGGGGCGCAGCAGGCGCGAAAACUCUACAAUGCAGGCAACUGCGAUAGGGGACAUCGAGUGGCGCCCACCUUGGGCGCCUGUCCCACCGUCUAAAAAACGGUGGUUAGCAAGGGCCGGGUAAGACCGGUGCCAGCCGCCGCGGUAAUACCGGCGGCUCGAGUGGUGGCCGAUAUUAUUGAGUCUAAAGGGUCCGUAGCCGGCUCCGCAAGUCCCCCGGGAAAUCCAGCGGCCCAACCGUUGGGCGCCCGUGGGAUACUACGUUGCUUGGGACUGGGAGAGGUGGGAGGUACUCGGGGGGUAGGGGUGAAAUCCUGUAAUCCA